GACGUCGAUAUUCGACGUCAUCAACACGGUCAACUUUGGUGUUUAUGGCGUUGAUAUUCGACGUCAUAAACACGAUCAACUUUGAUGUUUAUGACGUUGAUAUUCGACGUCAUAAACACGAUCAACUUAGAUGUUUAUGACGUUGAUAUUCGAUGUCAUAAACACGAUGAACUUAGAUGUUUAUGACGUUGAUAUUCGGCGUCAUAAAUACGAUCAACUUAGAUGUUUAUGACGUUGAUAUUCGACGUC